AUACGUAGGGGACAAGCGUUGUCCGGAAUGACUGGGCGUAAAGGGCGCGUAGGCGGCGCGGUAAGUCUGGAGUGAAAGUCCUGCUUUCAAGGUGGGAAUUGCUUUGGAUACUGCCGCGCUUGAGUGCAGGAGAGGUUAUCGGAAUUCCCGGUGUAGCGGUGAAAUGCGUAGAGAUCGGGAGGAACACCAGUGGCGAAGGCGGGUAACUGGACUGCAACUGACGCUGAGGCGCGAAAGUGUGGGGAGCAAACAGGAUUAGAUACCCUGGUAGUCCACACUGUAAACGAUGAAUGCUAGGUGUAAGAGGUAUCGACCCCUUUUGUGCCGGAGUCAACACAAUAAGCAUUCCGCCUGGGGAGUACGGCCGCAAGGUUGAAACUCAAAGGAAUUGACGGGG
rnacentral:rRNA from 1 species